UACGUAGGGUGCGAGCGUUAAUCGGAAUUACUGGGCGUAAAGCGUGCGCAGGCGGUUCGUUAUGUCCGUUGUGAAAGCCCCGGGCUCAACCUGGGAAUGGCAAUGGAAACUGGCGGGCUAGAGUGUGGCAGAGGGGGGUGGAAUUCCGCGUGUAGCAGUGAAAUGCGUAGAGAUGCGGAGGAACACCGAUGGCGAAGGCGGCUCACUGGUCCGGUACUGACGCUGAGGUGCGAAAGCGUGGGGAGCAAACAGG
rnacentral:rRNA from 1 species